AAUCAACGCUGGCGGCGUGCCUAACACAUGCAAGUCGAACGAGAAAGGGGAGCAAUCCCUGAGUACAGUGGCGACCGGGUGAGUAACACGUGACUACCUACCCUUGAGUGGGGGAUAACCUCGGGAAACCGAGGCUAAUACCGCAUAAUAUCGCAAGAUCAAAGGAGCAAUCCGCUCUUGGAGGGGGUCGCGGCUGAUUAGCUAGUUGGUAGGGUAAUGGCCUACCAAGGCGAAGANCGGUAUCCGGCCUGAGAGGGCGCACGGACACACUGGAACUGAAACACGGUCCAGACUCCUACGGGAGGCAGCAGUGGGGAAUUUUGCGCAAUGGGGGAAACCCUGACGCAGCAACGCCGCGUGGAGGAUGAAGCUCCUUGGAGUGUAAACUCCUUUCGACCGGGACGAUAAUGACGGUACCGGUGGAAGAAGCACCGGCUAACUCUGUGCCAGCAGCCGCAGUAAC
rnacentral:rRNA from 1 species